AUUUCCCUCAUCAGUUUGCAAUCAUGUCAUAUGAGAAACCAUAAAGAGUUUCUCAUCAAGGGUAAGGGGAUGGUUGCUGCUUCGGUUUAGACAGCCUUUCUCUCCUUAUACAAAACAUCAUUUGAGGGAUAUUGGGAUAGUUGCUGCUACAGAUACAGUAGCCUUCUAGUCCCAGUAAAAUAAAGCUCUCAAGAUUGCUUGCAUG
rnacentral:lncRNA from 1 species